rnacentral:rRNA from 1 species
AUAAUUCAUUUUACUCCAACACCCAGGUCGCAAACUUUUUUAUCGAUUAGAACUCUCCAAAAAAAUUACGCUGUUAUCCCUAAGGUAAUUUAAACUUUUAAUCAAAAAAUUUGGAUCAAAUAAUCAUUUAUCAUUGUAUAAAAUAAAAAAAAGUUAUAUAAAUUUUCCUAUCACCCCAACAAAAUAAUUUAUUAACUUAAAAAAAUUAAUUCUUAAAAUAUUUAAACUAAUAAAUUAUUAAACUCUAUAGGGUCUUCUCGUCUUUAAUAAUUAUUUAAGCUUUUUAACUUAAAUAUAAAAUUCUAUAUAAAUUAAUUAGAGACAGCUUAUUUCUCAUCCAGCCAUUCAUACAAGUUUCUAAUUAAGAAACUAAUGAUUAUGCUACCUUUGCACAGUCAAAAUACUGCGGCCAUUGAAUAAUAUUCAUCGGGCAGACUAGACUUUAAAUAUAAAACAAAAAGAC